AAGAGACUAGCUUUGGUUUUGAGGGUUUUUUUGCAGAUUGUUCACUGUUAAUGAAAGUUCUUGUUAAAAAUCAGAGUUGAAAAAACAUAUUUAAACAGAAAGCCGGUAUUUUGGGUACGCUUUUCUGUCCUGUGUAGAGAUUUCAGACUUGCUGAUUUUCUCUAUUGGAAAUGAUUACUUGAGUCUUGAGCUACCUAGGAUUGAAGGGUUCAUUCUGCUAUACAAGUAAUAGGCUUUUCCAGGGGGAUGGCCUAUGCCUGCCAUGUAAUUAGCUGUGGCAUCUUCAAAUAAUAAAUGUCCAGAUACAUGCUAAAAAUACUGCAUGAGAGCUCUUCAUAUCAUGAAGAUUUCUUAGCUACUGGAGGAGAGGUGCAAAAAGAAAGACCUUUCAAUUAAAAUACCGUGAAUGCUGUGUUUAAGGGAAAGGGAGGAGGGAGAUACAGCAAUCGGAAUGGUAAGAAAAGUAUACAUUAGCCCAUGAGAGAAAAGUCAUUCCUUGAGAAUUGUAGUAGAUGUAGUUGGAAAAGAUGAGGUGCCAUUAGCAACCCUCUUUUCUUAAAAGUCAGUGUAAGUAGAGUAAAACAGCAUACGUGCAGGGCUGUUUGUGAAUGGAAAGCAUAUGAAGAGUGAUGCAAUAUGUAUAGAAAGGCUGUGUGAAGGAUGUGUUUAUCCUUGUGUAAGCUUCGUAUUUUCACUGAAAGGAAGUUCAGAAUGGGCAUGCAGGACAGAUCAGUGCACGCAGCCAUCUGUUACCCAAACCAGCUGGCAUUUUGUUGCUCCUCUGUCACCACAAACCUGACCACUCAAAAGCCUGUUUUCUCUUUCAGUUAUUUAUUCCUUGAUCUUCUUGAAGUCCUUUUUUUCAUACUUUGUUUGUUAAAGGUGCUUUGUCCCUUCAGGGGCCACUUUUGUAUUGACCUUUAAGAUAAUUUCCCAGCUAAAUCUUUGCUGGGAUUUUGCUGGUAAAAUUUGGAUGUCCCAUUACUUUGAUUCCUGUCAGGGAAUUGGCUAUCAUAAAAGUUUGUCAUGGUGCUUGCAGGUGGUUUAGUGCUCAUAAACUGUGCUUGACAUGCCAGGUUACCUUCCACUGGAGAAGCACUUUUGAGAGAAGCUACGGAUCUUGGUACAGAGGGCUAAUAUUUAAUACCAACACCUCCAUUCUUAAGUUGACUGCUAUUGCACACUGCUUUCUAAGGUGCUUUAUGAUACAAACAUCUUGAUUGACCUGAUCAUCUUAUAAAGGAACAAAAAUGUGCAAGAGCUACACUUAAUUGCGGCAUCAGCCCUGACUGGGAGCCGCAGUCAGCAUUAUCACAUGUGUGACAGGUAUGUCAGUCAGUCUGCAGGAGACAAUGGUUUUCCUGAAAACAGAAUUUCUAAUUCUGCACCUACU